UACGUAGGGUGCGAGCGUUGUCCGGAAUUAUUGGGCGUAAAGGGCUCGUAGGCGGUUUGUCGCGUCGGGAGUGAAAACGCCGGGCUUAACUCGGUGCUUGCUUCCGAUACGGGCAGACUAGAGGUAUGCAGGGGAGAACGGAAUUCCUGGUGUAGCGGUGAAAUGCGCAGAUAUCAGGAGGAACACCGGUGGCGAAGGCGGGUCUCUGGGCCGAUACUGACGCUGAGGAGCGAAAGCGUGGGGAGCGAACAGG
rnacentral:rRNA from 1 species